rnacentral:rRNA from 1 species
UACGUAGGGGGCAAGCGUUGUCCGGAAUCAUUGGGCGUAAAGCGCGUGUAGGCGGCUGAGUAAGUCUGCUCUGAAAGCCCGGGGCUCAACCCCGGGAGGCGGGUGGAUACUGCUCAGCUCGAGUCCGGAAGAGGAGUGUGGAAUUCCUGGUGUAGCGGUGAAAUGCGCAGAUAUCAGGAGGAACACCAAUGGCGAAGGCAGCUCACUGGGACGGUAUUGACGCUGAGACGCGAAAGCGUGGGGAGCAAACAGG